rnacentral:rRNA from 1 species
AUUGAACGCUGGCGGAAUGCUUUACACAUGCAAGUCGAACGAUGAAGUCUAGCUUGCUAGACGGAUUAGUGGCGAACGGGUGAGUAAUAUAUCGGAACGUAUCCAUUAAUGGGGGGUAACUAGUCGAAAGAUUGGCUAAUACCGCAUACGUCCUACGGGAGAAAGCUGGGGAUCGUAAGACCUGGCGUUAAUGGAGCGGCCGAUAUCUGAUUAGCUAGUUGGUGAGGUAAAGGCUCACCAAGGCGACGAUCAGUAGCUGGUCUGAGAGGACGACCAGCCACACUGGAACUGAGACACGGUCCAGACUCCUACGGGAGGCAGCAGUGGGGAAUUUUGGACAAUGGGCGAAAGCCUGAUCCAGCCAUUCCGCGUGAGUGAAGAAGGCCUUCGGGUUGUAAAGCUCUUUCGCAAGGGAAGAAAACUUAUCCUCUAACAUAGGGUGAGGUUGACGGUACCUUGAUAAGAAGCACCGGCUAACUACGUGCCAGCCGCCGCGGUAA